UGAUGAUGAUGAGGGUUUCCUCUGCAGAUGAAGGCUGGAGGAAGGUGUGUGUGAGCUGAUCCAGUGGAUCCAGUGAAUCCAGCAGCAUGGAUCAGUGUGAUUACAAACAGGAGGAAGCCCUUCCCUCUAAAAGCACUCUGUGUGGGGAAGAUGAGAGCCAGAGCAAAGCUCAGAGGAACCGACCUGGAUCUGGAUCUGGAUCUGGAUCCAGCCGGGGGUACUUCGGAAGUGUGAAACCAAUGUUUUUUUCUCAUUUACUCGACGACCUCCCUUCAGGAGCGGAACAGAUCCAACAGAAAUCUGGAUCCAGCUGUGUGUCCAACAGGAGUGACGACUCAAAGCAUCAAAAUCCUGACUUCAAGUCGAUCAGUUUAGCAGUGGAACAGUAAGUGUUUGUCAGAGUUAAAAGAGUCUGGAUAAUCGUUCAGAUGAUCAAUAGUUUUCAGAUGAAUGACUUGAGUUCUGGUUCAGUUCUUGAUCUCUCUGAUCAGACUCUCUUGGAUCAUCAUGUGUGAUCAAAUCUUUUCAGUUGAUCUCCUGAGAGUCUCUGAGAUCAGAGAUGUUGGAGAAACUUUAAACAGAAAUACAUCUUUCUACAUUUUCUGAUUUGGACAAAUGUUUGGAUCAAAAAAGAAACUGUUUUGACAAAAAUUUUAAUGAUAGUUAUUUACGGGUUUCUUGUCUGGACUGUAUGGAAAAAAAAACAAAA